GAGAAAGGGCAAAAGAGUGUUGUGAGGGUUUGGGGAAAACCUCUCCACUAUUUAUAGGCCUUGGGAAAAUUGCAAAAAUCCCCCAGAGAAUCCAAAAUUUACGAAAUUUGAGAUCAAGAUUCGAUCUCCAAAUCCCCCUAAUCACGCCUAGUCGCCGACUCCACAGGGCAGUCGCCGACUCCGGGCAAAAACUCACGGCGAUGUGAGAUACAUUCCUUAUUUGGAGAUUUUACAAAUAUUCCCCGUAUAUCUCCCAAAUAUUCCAAGGAUCUCUCGAAAAGAUCCGACGGUUACGUUAGGAGUCGCCGACUCACAGAGGGAGUCGC
rnacentral:lncRNA from 1 species